UGUAGUACGGGAUAGGACAUGCCUGGGGAAUGAAGCCCAUUUGCGUCCACGCGCUUGUAACUUCGCGUCAGCCUCUUUUCCAUGUUUCGUUGACAGCCUUCGGACGCGUGCAUCCCGGCAAUGACGAUCCGUGAUUUACUUGCGGUGAGAUGGAUGCCUGCUGGUAGAGAUACGUAGUAGUUGGUCCUCAGUCAAAGAUUCCGUGGAUCAACUCGUAUUUCUCCAUCGUCAUAAAAUUUCCCAAACGUAAGAAAAAAGAGAAAAGAUCGUUACUCAACUUCCUCAACAAUCCAAAAUCAUUUUUUCGACAACGACAAAAGCAGCACCGAGACAUACAAACUGUUAGGAUCGGAACAAGAUUAAACGAAUCAACAUUGAACCAUCGAAAACACGUUGAAUAUUGUCAUACGUCAGAAAGCACAGACACAAAUGUCAAUGACCAAUGCGGGAAUCUCGUGAUUCUUCAAGCACGAUUAAGCGAGCAGUUGGUUAGCGGCAAUCUUAAACGUAAUACGCGGUUAACGAUCGACGAUGGUUGUUCCUUUAUUCAUAACGGACGCCAAAGCGCGUUCCAUUAUGCGUCGGACGCCGGUGAGCUCGAACAGGAGGAAACCAAGCAUGUCAGCACGGACUCGCCUCAUUUUACAUCCCAAUAAACCGGUAUUAGCCGCCGCAAUAAAUACUCCUCCUGCAUUGUUUGCGCCAAUAGAACGGCCUCAUCCGUCUGCCGAUUAAAGCUGACGGUGCAAGAGCGUCCGAGUGACCCGAUGCGAGUCCGCAAUUAAUGUUAUUUUCACGGCGCAACUUGUUCGAGGCAAUUAAGGCGUUAUUGAUGAGCAGAGAGUCAGUGAUGCAACUCGACGAAGAAGUUGCUUUGUUAUCAGUAACGAAGGUCGAUGAUGUUCCAAGAUAUAAGCGACGUUGUAACGAAAGGAUAAUGGAUUAUCGAUAAACAUUUUAAUAUUUCAAUAUUUUUUUCUUAAGUUAUCGACGAAUUCAAUUCGAUAAAUUAAUCCGAUAGAUUCGACGAAUCAAAUUCGAGAAAUUAAACAGAAAAGAUAUAAGUGGCGUUGUAAGGAAAAGAUAACAGGUCAUCGAUAAAUGUUUUAAUAUUUCAAAAGAUAUCUUUGUGCGUCUUCUAUCGUUGUCUAUUACGUUCGUUUAUCAAUACUGUUAAACUAGUAAAUUU
rnacentral:misc_RNA from 1 species